rfam:Yarrowia lipolytica strain CLIB122 chromosome A complete sequence.
GAUGUGGUGGCUCAAUGGUAGAGCUUUCGACUCCAGUCAACUUGGUUGUAAUCGAAGGGUUGCAGGUUCAAUUCCUGUCCAUGUCA